rnacentral:rRNA from 1 species
GGGUGCGAUCAUACCAGUGUUAAUGCACCAGAUCCCAUCAUAACUCCGCAAUUAAGCAUGCUUGGGAUCCCUUUGAUAUGGUCAUUUCUCCUCCUCUACAACCAAUAAAUGUAUUGGUUGUGGCUA